rnacentral:lncRNA from 1 species
UAACUUCCCUCCCCCAGGGAAGAAGACACUUUCUGGCAGCAGACUUUCUGUCCUGGCCCUCUGGUGCUUAGAAUUCUUCCACCCUCUCUUCCACACUGACACCUGAGUGCAGGAGGUCACUUUGUAAAUGUGGCAUUUAGGGAGGUGCACCAAAGAGUCUGUUGUUCUCUGCAUUUUAAACAAUUGUGGCUUUCACUGUGGUUUUGGUGAGCUUUGUCAAGGGUGAGAGCUACACUUAUCUGUGGGUAUAAGGUAAGGAUAAGUAUUUAGAACACAGUUAGAAAAUUAUACUGGUUUACUAAAGUGGAAGUAGUGGGAUCUCUUCCAGGGUCAGUGGCCCUGCUAACCACAGGUUAUGGUCUAGGUUUACAGAACCAGACAUAAAUUCUCUCCUAUUGAGUGUGACUUGUGCCUCAUUCAACAAGUGCUGGUUACCCUCUGGAUGUAAGUGCCCCAAUUGCCUCUUUCAGGAUCUCUUGCCAUUCAAGUCAUUGUUCCCAUAGUUCAAAUCUAUAGAUGUGAGAACCUAAAGGAUACCCUGCUAAGCAAAAUAAUCCAGUCAUAGAAAGACAAAGCCUGUCUGGCCUUAUGCAUAUGCCCAGGUUUUUUUUGUUUGUCUGUUUGGUUGGUUGGUUUUUUUGUUUUUAAAAAGUCUCUGAAAGAAGUAGAAGCAGAGUUAGAAGACAGAGGAGUAGGUUACCAGAGACUUGGAGGAUGGGGAGUGAAGAGAGUCCUAAUAUAAUGACCAAGUAGUGCAAUGCCUCAGUCAGGCAGAAGGAAUCCUCUGAAAGCUGGUCAUAGACUGGUGACAAAAUUAUCACAUACUGUAGAUUUCAGAAUUGCUUAGGUUAGAUCUUAAAUUAUUAUUACUGUAAAGUGAUAGGUAAGUGAGGGUCUAUGUUGGCUUGCUAGAAUCACUCCACAGUGUCUGUGUACCUACAAGCUGUUAUUCCACACUCUAGAUUAGUCAACCAUGGACAAACACAUGGUUGAUUCCAGGAGUUUUCACAAGGCAAAACUUGAAUUUCUUACAUACUGAGACCAAAUCAGUACUGAAUACAUAUGAUCGAGCUGAUAUGUCAGCAAAUCAAGCUGUAGUCUCCUCUCUCCUCAUAGAAAUCCACUAUUCUUCAGCAAGUGUUUCCUGGGUGUGUGCACCUUACUGAUUCUUACAAGUUUAGCUAGGCCUGCUAUGAUUGUAUAUGUGAUAAAUGUGUACAGACAUAUUCCCCCUUGUUCUCUUAAAAAUAGCUUAGCCACUGUUUAUAUCACAUUUGUACUGUGUUGGUUAUUACAGCAGUCCAUAAAAGUAUAUGAUAGGAUCUAUAUAGGUUAUAAACAAGCAGAUAUCAUUUUAUAAAAAGGCCAUGAACAUCUUCAGAUUUAAGGACCAAUAUCCUGAAACUAGUCUUCCCAGAUAUAACAGUGACCGUGUGCAAUGACUCACAAUCAUUCUGCAGUGUAUGCAUGUAUAAAAAUAUCUCUUUUUAUCCUGAAAAACAUAUACCUGUUAUUAGCUUAAUUCAAAUUUAAACCACAAUUUAGUUUGGGCAAAUAACCAAUGCCUCAUCAAAACGUUUGUCUUCAGAUAUAUUUCAGCAGUCUUAAGAGAUUACAUUUUUUUCUUAUGAGCCAUUAAAGUUCUAAUAUUAACUCUGUAUAAAGAUAGCAUAAAUUUUCAGUUUUUCAUGAUGGUGAAAUACAGAAAGGAAACACCAUGUUUUUUAUUUUUGAGAACUGCUUCAUGGCCCUCACAGCCUGCCACCCACUGCAGUAAGCAAUGUGCUUGCUGCUUCUGACUUGCAUUCUUUUGGGGAUGUUGGCAAGCAGUCUGCUCAGGAUGUAACUCCUGCCUGAGGCUGGUUAAUCCCCCUCCUAGAUUAUUCAAUUCCUGGCAUGCAGGACUUGUUGAAGGAUGCGCAUGUGGCCACACCAGUAGCUACUUUAACAGUGAAGAGCAGGGACUGCUUCAUUCUGCCAGCAUGCUGGAUACUGUGUUCAAGAUUUAUUUUGUUGAGCUCCACCUGUCCCUGUCCCUGACACAAAUAGAAAAAACAUCUUGAUGCCCCUCAUCCUGCAAAAGAAAAAUUCCAGAAAAUUGAAGUCAACAUCCUCACUGUCUCGAAUGCAGUGCUGUCAAUGUUGUUACACUAAGCUGCCCAGCAGAUGGAUCUAAAGCAAUCUCUGUGGCAUGUGAAGCUAAUGUUCCUGUAGGUGGUAUCUUCCUGGCCUCACUGCAGGCCCCAGCCUUGCUAGGGCAGAAGGGGUGUUGACUUAAAGCUCUUGUUAUCAUGUUCCUCACCACUGUCAACAGGAAGCAAUCUGUGGCAUCCCUGAGCUUUUCCAGCCUAUCAUUUUCUAACUUCCUCCAUGGUGGGGACAACUUGUAACCUUUUCUGAGAAGAGUCUGAGUUCUGGGUUUGACAGAGCUGGUUCUUGUUGUGUGAAGGAUGAUAAUGUCCUUUCAAAAUUAUACUGUUGUGAUGAAGAUUUCUGUCUAGAUGAAGGGAUAUGACAUUGGUGACUUUGCCUUCCAUGAUUUAGCUGUGACUUCAUUCCAGUGGUAGGUGGAUCUGACUAGGACAAAAAGUCUCAUUCACAGAAGACACUGCCAAAGAGAAAGAGCAUCAGCUGCUUACAAGCCACGGUCUCUGAUUACGUGCUUCAUCUUGCAUUGUGUUACUGCUCUCUUUUUCCCUUCAGGCAGUGGUGACAUUGAAGCUUGGUGAGUCGAUGCAGCUUAACAAAAAUCAUCCAGAACUAUUAUGGAAAUGUUCCUGAUUUCCUAGUCAGAGAGCAAAUAACCUCUCCUUUCUAUUCUCGCAUGAGAGAUUUGGGUGAGGGGCAAGGAAUGUUUUCACAUCCUAUUUUUGGACUCUUUUUACACUGUUCUUUGCCAUUUGUUUGUCUUAUUUAUUUAUUGGUCCACAUGAUAUUAUUGCUUAUGUUUAUAAGCACAAGGACCUCUGUGGUAUUACGGGGUUCCACUGUGAUAUUAGUGGAAUUAGCAAUACAGUUAUUGACAGUCCGAAAACAAAACACGUGACAGAGGUACCAGAAGGUUGUAAUACCGUAAUUUGAAAAUACCAAUUGUCUACUCUUAGAAAGGAACAACCAGGGAAGUAAAAGGUUUCUAAAACAAAGAUUUAAAAAAAAAAUGUAAAGUAGAAAUUGAAGAAGACUCUAGAAGACGAAAGGCCUCUAUUAUCAAAGAGAGAGACAAUUAAUAUUGUGAAAAUGGCUACAUUAUCAAAAGUAGUAGUCUAUGUAUGCAAUGUAAUCCUAAUAAAAUUCCAAUUCUUCACAUAAAUAGAAAAAAUAAUUCUAAGGUUCUUAUGAAAGUAAAAAGAGCCAGGACUAGUCAAGCCAUAGCCACCUGGUUCUGAACAGAGUUACUGAAAUUUGCAUUGGUGAAAAUACAGCAACAAAUGGUGCUGGUCAACUGGAUACACCUUAGAAGAAUAAAACUAGGUUUACCCCUUUCACUCUGCGCAAAAGUCAGUUAAAACCAAUCAAAGGCUUUAAUGCAAAACCCAAAGCUUGCCAGUUGGUAGAGAAAAACACUUCAGGAUAAAGGAAAAAGGGAUUUCCAAAAACAAUUCCAAUAAGCACAGAAGAUGCACAAAUUCACAGAUGACAUUACGUGAAAUGAAAAACUUAUAUAUUGUAAAGGAAGCAGUUACCAGAGUGAAGAGACAGCCCACAAAAUGGGAAAUGAUCUUUGCCAACUCUGAUAGAGGAGAAAUACCUGGAAUAUUAUAAGGACC